UACGUAGGGGGCAAGCGUUGUCCGGAAUCAUUGGGCGUAAAGAGCGUGUAGGCGGCUCGGUAAGUCCGCUCUGAAAGCCCGGGGCUCAACCCCGGGAGGCGGGCGGAUACUGUCGGGCUAGAGUCCGGAAGAGGCGAGUGGAAUUCCUGGUGUAGCGGUGAAAUGCGCAGAUAUCAGGAGGAACACCGAUGGCGAAGGCAGCCCCCUGGGCUAACACUGACGCUCAUGCACGAAAGCGUGGGGAGCAAACAGG
rnacentral:rRNA from 1 species